rnacentral:tRNA from 1 species
AAAAGUGUAGCUUAGUGGUAGAGCAUCUGUCUAAUAAAACCAAAGCCCUAGGUUUGAACCCUAGCACUUCUC